GGGUCCGGGAGGGACAUGGAGCUAGUGGCAGGCAAGUCACUGGCUUGAAGAGGGUUCUCUGUAUGCUGGAAAAGAGCUAAUUCCCAGAUGACCAGCAGGAGGCACUGCACUGGUAACUUGUAGAACCUUAACCUGCUUCUGAACAUUGAGACAAGACUUUGUUUUCUGUACUUGAGUAUCACUGGGAAACCAGCUGUAACAAAAGGACAGAGGCGAAGCUUCCAGGAUCACGAACACCAGAGUUGCUCAAGAGGCAUGCUGCCGACAGGGCAGCAGGGCUAUUCUAGAACGUUAAGCAGGAUGAGAAACACGAAAGGACUCCUGCAUUGUUAAGAAGUUGACUGAGGCCUUAUCAAAAGAAGUGGAACAUGUUCCUUUGAGGUGUUUGACAAAACAUCCCUUUCCCCAGAUGCUAUAAUGAAGAUCUUCUGAGGAUAAGAGCAUCUAAACUGCUGUAACCCAUCUGCUGAAUGUCCAGAAGAAAGGAGCAUAGCAAGAAAAGCAACUAACAGGAGGAUGUAAGAAGGGCGUGAGGCCAUAUUCUGCAGGCUUCUCCAUGUUAUUUACAUACCAACUUACUGAAAAAUAAAGAAGCUUAUCAGUCUACAACAGUCUUACUAAGCACAACAGCGUCUGACACCCUCUUACCCUUUUGCUUUUGAAUUUGUAACUGAAUGACU